rnacentral:lncRNA from 1 species
CUGCGGCUUGGACGUGGGCCUCGGUGCGCGCGACGAUCACGAUCGCGGGUUUGGGAGACGCGGUGGUGUUGAAACGCGCGUUUCGGAUGUAGUUGCGUAGGGCGGGGGUGUAACCGGCUGCGGUUUGCGGGAAAACGACGUCGGCUAAGGUGUUGGGAAGAGCGCGCGUUUGGGUUGUGAAGCAUUGGAGGAAGUUUUGGUAGAUUGUUGCGUCUGGAGGAGUUGCGGUUGUAAGAGUCGUGGAGACCAAGAAGACAAAAGUCAAACAAAGGAGCUUCAUGUUUGUUGAUUGAAUGAAUUGUUGUUGAUGUUGUUCUGCGUUAUAUAUAUACUACAUAGAUUCUUGAAGUUUUACAUAGAUUCUUGAAUUUUUAGCUAUAUUCUUGGCUUUGGCUAAUAUUAGGAUUCGCUUGUAAUAGUAGACUAUUACUAAUAGUUAAGGUUUUUUCUUAUUUCUUUCUUUGUUUUCUGCGGUUGUUCUGAAUUUUUGUAUAAUCAAUUUUUUUUUUUGUGCUAAUUUGAAGAAUGUAUUUAUAGUUGAAAACAUCUAUGAUGGUUGUAUCAACUUGUGUUUGUAUUUGUUACAUUUUGAUUUUAAAAAAUGAAAACAAAAUAAGGCCAUAUCUUUGAACUUUGAAUAUAACUCAACCAAAACAGUGACUCUUACUUUUUGGGUAAAUCAGUGAAUUCGCUGAAGAAGCAUAAGUUCAUAGAUUUUUUUUCUUUUCACAGAUUAUGUUAACAUGAAUAAAGAAAACCGACCACUAUUCUUCUAGUUUUCCGAAGCCUUGCUUGAGCUUCAACUAAUGAUGCAGAGAUCAUCUAAAAUGUAGUAUUAUAUCCUUAAUGUUUUUUUUUUUGCUAGGUUUUUUUUCUUCUUCCAAGUAAAUAUUCACGUAUCAUUUUAUGUGUGUAUACAUGGAAUUGAUUAAAAAAGAAACUGCAGUAAACAAUACAUAUCGGCCUUCUAAUGUCGAAACAAUACAUAUCGGCAUUUCAACCCAUGAUAUUAGGGUUUUGAGAUUUAGGUUUGUUAAUUUUGUAUGGUAAGUAUUUGGAGACUAAUUUAGUUUGCAUGUCUACAUAAGCUCGAUUGGCAUGUUUAGGGUUUAGAGAUCAUAUCGCGUCAAUGGCAUUCAUCAGAAACCAUAAAAUAUGAAUUUUAGAAACCCAUGUGAUUAAAAUCAAAUUAUAUUUUUGAACAACACCAAAGUUUAACUUCAAAUUUUGAAAUUCGGUGAAACAAAUGAGAAAGACUUUUAGUUACAAGAGUAUAUCAUUGACUUAUUUACAAGUAUAUCAUUUGUUUUUACAAGUAUAACAAAUCAAUGAAUAUACAAGUACAUACAUAUGUUUAAAGUAUCUGAUAUCAUGAGGGAAAUUGUUUAGUAUCUCCGAUUCCAGUCAAACUUCUUGUGAAGUUUAGGAUAUACUCGAUUUUGAUGAUAUAUGCCAUCAUCUUUAGCAAUAUAGCUAUAUGUGUCUCCGUGAAGCUCUCUAUUGUCCUCCACAUAGGCAUCAAACUUUGACGAGAUCUUAUAAUCAGGUCCUUUGCUCAGGGUGCACCAGAAAAGCGUGUUUCCCAUAAAGUUAUCGUGGAAACUGAAAUAGUAGAUUCCCUCCUGUUUCAGAUAGUGGACACCCAUAUCGUUGUUCCCUGAUUUACAAUGUACCUUGAGCCAUUUCUUGUAACGAAGUCCGUUCACGAACAAGAGUGUUGUAUUGGCCCGUUGAAAUAUAUUUGCACCUACAUUGCCGAUCAUGCAAAGGGUAAGAACAAAUAGAAAGAAUGAAGUAUUUUUCAUUUUUUUUUCUUUCUUUCUAGAUGUUUUAGAUAUAUAUUUAUGUAUUGUUAAAACUCGUGUUUGUGUUUUUGGUGUUAUAUAUACACAUAGUAUUGCUAUUUUUGAGUUUUUACAUUAUCUUCUUACUCUAUUAUUGGAAGUUUUCUAUUAAUGAUUUUAUCUAGUCGUUUCGAAAAAAUAGAUUGAUCCCAUCAAGUUUUCAAGAUUUUUUCCAAUGGCCUCCUCCCUAUUUAGGUAUGUUCCUCUCUUGUUGGUCAAGUUUGUUUUAUAGACUCUCGUUUUAAUCGAGUUAAGUUUAAUACAAUGUAGAAACAUUAAACUAGAUUGUACGAAUAUAGAUAAUAAUGGAAACAUAAUAAUAUAAGCAUGGAGAAAAUAUAGAAAUUAAAUGGGAUGAUGAGAGACGAUAUAACAAUAGGUAAGAGAAACAUCAAAAUGGUAUAGAAGCAAGCACACCAACAAAAUAGCCCUUUACAAGAAGAAAAAAAAAAUUGAACAAUAGUUCGUGAUGGUGGUCGUUGUAGAGUAUUUCACUUCUCAGAUUAUGUUAACGUGAAUAAAGACAGACUAUCGAUCACUAUUCUUCUAGUUCUCCGAAGCCUUGUCUCGAGCUGCAAAGAUGAUGCAGAAAUCAUCUAAAAAUGAAAGUUAUAAGUAGAUUAUAUUAUCCCAUUCCCAUAUCAAAUAUUGUUUUGACAAUCUUUUUUUUAACACUGAUAUCAUCUCUACUUUCUUGUGUGUGUUUUUGGGUUUAUGUUAUGACGUUAUUAUUUAAUUUGUCUUAGACUAUUUCUAAUGUAUUUUGCUAUAUUCUCUUCUAAAAUAGAGAAUCUCUAUAAUAAAGAUGAAAUUUGCUUCAAUGUAUUCUUCUAAUCUUCAAAAUAUAGAAUAAAGAAUAGAAAUUGCUAUUUCUUCCUCUAAAUAUAGAAAAAAAAUACUAGCAAUUUCUAUUUUAAAAGAAGAAAUAGCCGUGGAUUGAAGUGAAAUUAUUCUAAAUGCUAGAUGCUCUUAAGAGAAUCUGAAAACGGUAAAAAAGACUACCACAUGCAUAUACCUGACUAUAUUUAAAAUUUAUAAAUAGUAUUCAUUGCAUGUAACUUAGAGCUUAUUAAUAAAUCUGGGUUGGAAUUGUAUGUUAAGUGUUUGGAGAUUGAUUUAGUUCGCAUAUGCUAAAUUGGCUUGUUAAGGGUUUUGAGAUCAUUUCGCGUCACGAUCUAAUGAAGAAACGAUAGAAAAAUUAUAACUUUUAGAAAAUAUAUACUGAAUAACACCAAAGUUUAAUUUAUAAAUUUUAAAUACAAUGAAACAAAUAAGAACAACUUUAACAAGUAUAUCAUUUAUACAUUUACAAGUAUAUCACUGGUUUUUACAAGUAUAACAAAUAAAUGGUUUUAAUAUAUAAGUACAUAUAUUGAAAACAUCUGAUAACACGGGAGAUUUAGUUUGUGAUCUCUAUUUCCAGUCAAACUUCUUGUGAAGUUUAAAUUCCACAAGAUUACUGUGAUAGAUGCCAUCAUCUUUAGCAAGAUAGUUAUAUGACUUUCCGUGAGCCUUAUCAUUGUUCUGUUUAUAGGCGUCAAACCUAGAAGAGACCUUAUAAUCAGGUCCUUUGCUCAGGGUACACCAGAUAAGCGUACCCCCGAAAACGUUGUCGUGGACACUGAAUGUGUAAUCGAUUCCACCCGGUUUCAGAUAGUGGACACCCAUAUCGUCGUUCCCUGAUUUACAAUGUACUUUGAGCCAUUUAUUAACUCCAAUAUCCAAAUCCCUGUAAUUCAAAUACGUGUGUCUAGGGUUCUUGGUCACAAAAGGAGCCAUGUAGCUAUAAAAGCUUUUCGCCUUCUCCAAGAAACUGGUCUCAGCUUCAGGCCCCGGAUCUUUCCAGUUCAUCGAGUGCUGCACCUUGUAAAGCUUGGUCCUAUGCGGGAAAGGAGUCUUCGUCGUAGCCACCUCGCUCACCUUCCCACCGUAAGGGUUAAACACAAGACCAAUCUUCCCAACCUCGAUCAUCUUCUUCAUCAAGUAAUCUAACCCUUCUUUAGUAAUCUCCUUCUCCACGAAAUCUGACUUCCUCUUCCCGUAAGACGCCGUAUCCAAGUUACGCUCGAGGAGCACCUCGGGUUUAACCAGCGUAGCGUUGUCGUGGUUGUCCCACCACAGCACGGACUGUAUCCACGUGAGCUCCGUGCAGUUCUCUUGCUUUAAACCAAGCUCGGGGAAGUCUUUGUUUAACAAAGACAUAACCUCGCUCGACUUGCCGAGAAACAAGGCCAAGACCGAGGCGCGAACGGUCUGCAUCUUGUUUCUCGUCACGGGCUGUAAUAACACCCUCAUGAAGAGACCAGGAUCGGUUUUCGGAGCAACGAACUGCCAUUUAUGCACCAUCUCGACCGCGUUCUCGUCCAAGUUCUUCUGGACCCUGAAGACCGUAACGGUAUCGGGGACGGGGACCAGCUUGAUCUUGAAACCCAAGAUCACGCCGAAACUCGCCCCGCCUCCUCCGUUAAUAGCCCAGAAGAGAUCUUCUCCCAUCCCUUUACGGUCAAGAACGCGCCCGUUAACGUCCACGAUCUUCGCGUCCGUGACGUAGUCGACGGAGAGACCGUACUUUCUGAUCAUGUUUCCGUACCCGCCGCCGCUAAUGUGCCCUCCGGCGCCGACGGUGGGACAGACUCCGGCGGGGAAGCCGUGCGUUUUGGUCUUCUCCCAUAUACGGUAGUAGACUUCGCCGAGCGUGACGCCGGCUCCGAUCCAGGCGGUUUCUCCCUCGACGGUGAUGUCGCGGAAGCUCGACAUGUCGAGGAGGAAGAAGGGGAGGUUGGAUACGUACGAGACGCCUUCGUAGUCGUGCCCGCCGCUUCUAGUUUUCAGCUGGAAUUUUAGCGUUUUGGUGCAGACUACUGCGGCUUGGACGUGGGCCUCGGUGCGCGCGACGAUCACGAUCGCGGGUUUGGGAGACGCGGUGGUGUUGAAACGCGCGUUUCGGAUGUAGUUGCGUAGGGCGGGGGUGUAACCGGCUGCGGUUUGCGGGAAAACGACGUCGGCUAAGGUGUUGGGAAGAGCGCGCGUUUGGGUUGUGAAGCAUUGGAGGAAGUUUUGGUAGAUUGUUGCGUCUGGAGGAGUUGCGGUUGUAAGAGUCGUGGAGACCAAGAAGACAAAAGUCAAACAAAGGAGCUUCAUGUUUGUUGAU